GUCAGAUGUGAAAUCCCCGGGCUCAACCUGGGAACUGCAUCUGAUACUGGCAAGCUUGAGUCUCGUAGAGGGGGGUAGAAUUCCAGGUGUAGCGGUGAAAUGCGUAGAGAUCUGGAGGAAUACCGGUGGCGAAGGCGGCCCCCUGGACGAAGACUGACGCUCAGGUGCGAAAGCGUGGGGAGCAAACAGGAUUAGAUACCCUGGUAGUCCACGCCGUAAACGAUGUCGACUUGGAGGUUGUGCCCUUGAGGCGUGGCUUCCGGAGCUAACGCGUUAAGUCGACCGCCUGGGGAGUACGGCCGCAAGGUUAAAACUCAAAUGAAUUGACGGGGGCCCGCACAAGCGGUGGAGCAUGUGGUUUAAUUCGAUGCAACGCGAAGAACC
rnacentral:rRNA from 1 species